rnacentral:rRNA from 1 species
GAUGAACGCUGGCGGCGUGCCUAAUACAUGCAAGUCGAGCGAACAGACGAGAGUGCUUGCACUCUCUGACGUUAGCGGCGGACGGGUGAGUAACACGUGGGUAACCUACCUAUAAGACUGGGAUAACUUCGGGAAACCGGAGCUAAUACCGGAUAAUAUUUAGCUUCGCAUGAAGCAAUAGUGAAAGACGGUUCUGCUGUCACUUAUAGAUGGACCCGCGGUGUAUUAGCUAGUUGGUGAGGUAACGGCUCACCAAGGCAACGAUACAUAGCCGACCUGAGAGGGUGAUCGGCCACACUGGGACUGAGACACGGCCCAGACUCCUACGGGAGGCAGCAGUAGGGAAUCUUCCGCAAUGGACGAAAGUCUGACGGAGCAAUGCCGCGUGAGUGAAGAAGGUUUUCGGAUCGUAAAACUCUGUCGUAAGGGAAGAACAAGUACGUUAGUAACUGAACGUACCUUGACGGUACCUUACCAGAAAGCCACGGCUAACUACGUG